GCCAAUGAUCACACUACGUUGAACGCACCGUAUCCCGUCAGAUCUGCAGGGUUAAACAAAGUUAGGCCGCUUCAGCACCAUGGCUAGUGACAACAUGGCAGCAUCCAAUGUUGUAGGCA
rnacentral:rRNA from 1 species